UGUAAACUUAAUGAGUGUUGAUAGAAUGUGAAUGGUAUUAUGUUUAGUGGGUUUUUUCUAUAGCUCUAAUAAUGCAAUAUUUAUUCAUUUGAAGAAGCUGAGGUUUCAAUACAAGGUGUAAUGAUUGAGUCUUGAGAUGGAAAAAUAAAAUUAGCUGCAGUUGAAUUCAAGCGGGCUGUAAGGGACCAAGUGGGUAAAAUUUGGUAGAGAGGUAUGACUAAGUUGAAUACAGAGAUAAUUUCUUCUUAUUAUUACUGAAUUCUGUAGUUUAGGUAACACCAGUGAUUUAAGCAAGCAGUUAAUGUAUUCUAAAACAAUAAUCUGUUUCCAUUACAUGGAACAUGGUCAAGUAAUUGAAGUGGAUUGCAGUUAGUUUUUACUAUUACGCUGAUGAGACAGCACCAACUAUUUGAUGGUCCUAGAUUUGUUACAACAUGUUUUAAAUUGACUAAAUUAAUUGUUAAGGGAAUUUUUAUCAAUGAUGACUAAUUAUGUAUACAUUACAAUCAGGACUGACUAAUCAGAAUACUAUUAUGUUACUGUAUAUGUACUAAUCAGAAUACUAUUAUGUUGCUGUAUAUGUAUGAGUUUUAAUUAUUGAUCCCAGUACUGAAUAUAAUGUGUGUGAAUGAAUCAAGGAUUAGAACAAUGACGGUCUGUUCCUGGGUAGGAAUGAAUGAACGAUAUCUUCAGACUGGCUAGAAUGCUUAUCUACACGAGAAGACCUUGGCUCGUAAAUUGUAUUAAAUUGGUAGUGAGACGGAUGUGGGAAGGCUUGAGAUACAGCCUUUGUACUGGAACGGAGAUGGCACGGGUUGGUGCUGAAACUAAUGACGUCAUUUUCAGUUUAUAACCUGUGGUAAACUGUAUCGUAUUCAGUACUCUCGUGAAUAAACUCUGAGUGUUUAAUUUUAAUUGGGUAUUAAAACAUAGAGCAAUUUAAUUCCUGUAACAUUAAUGCAUCAGGUUAAAAUGAUAAGAUUACCAGAAAGGGGCUCUGGGAUUGUUUACUUUAGAAGGUGUCUUUUUCCCUAACUGGAAAACUGUAAUAUCUGACAUGUUUUGUGUAGGAUUCUUUUUUCCAGGACUGAUGGAAGUCCAAUUGUCACGGCCGUUGAAUGAAGAGGACCAAAGCGCAGCGUGAUGGUGCUAUACAGAUGAAAAUGGCUAUUUCCAUCAUGCUGACCCUUACCAUUGUGCAUGGUGCCAGUGUGACGACUGUCCUAUUUGCAGUAAUGAAACUUGUGAUAAAAAAAUAUUUGUUUAAUUUUCUGUUCCAGAUUGACUGUUUUGAUCAGGUCAAACUCAGCAAUUUAUAUGCACUUUGUUUGUUUAAAUGUAUGUUUAACAAUAAUUAUGUAAUUCUUGUACCCUUACAUUUUUCUAGAAGAAACUGAGUUUCUUGAGAGGAGGUAUGUGAGAGAAAUUAUGUAUUUACUAGAUUUGUUUUAUAUUAAUAGUUUAAUUAUACACUUAACAAAUAGUAAAAGACAUUUCUGUUCUACUAAUGCAGUGUUUUUAUGGUCUCCACUCUAGCUCCCUGCAGCUAGUCUGGGUGUAUGGUCACUAGAGAUAGCUUGAGCUGACAACUGAUUUCAGCCUGCAUUCCAUAGACAAGAUGUGGUGGGUAUAACCAAGAUAGAGAGCCUGGAGGAGUGGAACCAAACCCUUAUUGUGUCUAAUCAUCCUUGCAUCUGGAGGACUAAGCCAGGUUGGGGGAUAACCACAGGAGAACCCAAGGUGGCUUAUGAUUUGUAGUGUCAGAUAUAAGAACCAUGAUUCCUCUGCUCACUGGGCUCUCAACGAAUCACCUACGGGUGAGUCACUGACCAGCCUCAUCACUGCAGAGCACUCGCAUUGUUCUCGUGUGUGUGGUGUGACCUGCUCCUGUAUUCAUGUUUUGAAUAAAGUAAUAUCCUGAUUCUC